UCGAUGGAAACGUUUUAACUGCAGACAUCAGCUGACUACGACGUGACAUCUCUUGAAUGCUGUCGAUUAUAUAUUUUACGGAUUUGUACAUAGCCUGUCCACUUUUCAAAUGAAAAUAGGGUUCUGCCUUGAACACCAAACUCUAUGGAAAAUGUUUGAGAACAUGUACCAUGCCAUGUACCAUCUCACUCUGGUAUAAUAAGUCAAAUGUGAAGGAACAAUGAUUGGUUACAAACCUGCACAGGAUUAAAUCAACAAAAGUGCCAAGUGGUGUGUCCCAUGUAUGCACGAAUGAGUUGCACAUAACUGGAUUUCAAUGAUUUAAUUAUCCUGUUUAGAACUCCAAUUUUUUCAACUAUACUGUGUAUAUCAAGAAUGUGAUUAUUAUUAACUUUUGUAUAUCAUAACUCAAAGACAAACUGCAUCAAUAUAAAUAUUAAAUACACUGUAAUUUAAUAUGACUAUAAUGAAAUAUUAUUAAAAUCAUUGUUAUAUUUUA